AUGGCUACUUCUAAAGACAAGAGUGAAGCCCUUCCAGAAUCUGUGCGGCCGAGACGUCAAGUCCGACUGCCAGCCUAUUUGUCAGACUACCAAGUAAAUGUAACCAGCCACAGAGAACUGGCUUCCUCUUAUACAGCAGAUACUGCAGCACAGACUACAUUUAGACGAGAAGAGGAGUGCAGUGCAGAGAGUGAUGGAACUGCUAGGAAGAUGUCUUCAGCUGGUUCAGCAUCGGUCAGACCUGGAAGUCAGUAUUCGACAAGAGAUGAGUGGGGAACCUUUUAUGCUGAAUUAGAGGACAUUCAAGCUCAGCUUGGCCAGGACACCCAGCUCAUACGGAGUUUACGAGAUAGAGUGCGCCAGCAUGUAUUAACCAAAUGCUGUGGGGGGGAAAUCCCACAUGCAGAUACACGCCCAUUACUGAGAGAUGACAGAGUUUCUUCGCCUGCAACCAGGCAGCCCCUUGCUCACUUAUCCUCACCAGCCUCCUUCUCAGCCUCAUCCCAAGUCUCAUCACUCCAGUCCCAAGUAUCAGCUGUGUCCUCAGGCGAGUCCCAUUCAGUUACCCACCUAACACCACAGAGACUCAGAACAACAUUGGAAGUAAAUCCACCUCCUCAGGAGGACGAGUCAUGGCCUGAACCACCACCUUCUGUAUGUGAUGAUGCACCAUACAGAGCUAGGGAAGAGCGUGAAUUCCCAGUCAGUUAUGCUACUUUUAUCAGUUACUCAAACCCAGUGGAAUUAGCUGUGGAGAGAGCAGUAGCACAGCCCUACUAUGCACAUUAUGUUCCAGCCUGUGUAAACUCAUUCCAGAAUCCGUCACUCAGACCUGACCGAGGGGAUAUAAGAACUAACCCCAUUUCACAAGAUACACAGUGUCAGAGCAGUUCAUUGUAUCCUUCCCUCGCACGCCCUCCAACUCAAGCUCCAUAUUCAAGGCCCUAUUCUACACCCUGGCUGAAUGUUGCUCCACCAGCUCAGCAACAAUUUAUGUAUGCUCCACGAUCAGUGCAACAGACUGAACCAUGGCUUAAACACUCAGAAAUGCCAUACAGCCAGCCACAGCCAUCGCCUUAUGAAACCUUUCCCACAUCACUGCUAGUACAGGAGAAAGUCUAUCUAGGCCCUAAGCCACGAAUCCCCAUGCUGGUUCAUCGAGAUCCUGCAGAAUUCGCCAGGUUGAAGAUGUCAUUGGAGAAUCUACUGCCAGCUGAUACCACCGAGCUCUUUAAGUACCAGAUAUUGGUUGACCAUCUCAAAUUAGAGGAAGCCUCCCUUAUUGCUGACUCUUAUCUGAACUCUGCCACCCCAUACUCUGACACAAUGACAGCCUUAAACGAGAGGUUUGGUCAACCGCAUCAGUUAGCCCUCAAAAGAAUUGCCCAAGUCAUGGAUGCUCCCGACAUUAAGCGAGGGGAUCAUGAGGCAUUUCAGAGGUUUGCACUCCAGAUCAGAGCUCUUGUGGGGAUGUUGGAAACCCUUGGUGUAGAGGGAGAAGUGGAGUUGAAAUGUGGUUCCCAUGUUGCCAGACUGCUUGGCAAACUACCUCCAGAGUUGCGUGCAGACUUCCGCCGACACCUGUAUUAUCAGUCCGAUUCAGUUUAUACAUUACCUGAAUUCUCUAAGUGGCUCCAGUACGAAGCAUGGUGUCAGGGCCAUACCGAACCAUUCACCAAAGGAAAUCCUGAGUGCCGAACCAAACCAGCCCGCCUAACCAGACCAGCCACGGUCCUCCAUGGUGCCAAAGCUGCCUCACAGAUAAAGGGCCCAGAUCCAGGAACUAAAACAUCCACCUCAAGUAGGAAAAGAGGUAAAGUGCUACCUUAUUGUCCAUAUUGUGAAAGCUCUGAACAUUUCUUAAGUCAGUGCGCUACUUUCCAGACUUUCACUCCUGAGCAGAUCCGUACCUGGAUUACUGAUAACAAGAGGUGCAUAAAAUGUGGUAGAUCUCAUGCUGUUACAGAUUGCACUCUUAAGAAACCAUGCAGCAUUUGUCAAAACAAACACCUUCAGAUACUGCAUGAAGUCAAUUCCAAGGCAGGUAAAGAGGGCAUAUGCAUGUUGAGCUCUGCAGUUGGCACUGCUUACUUGAAUCGUCCAACAGACUGCAGCCGGGUAUUACUGAAAGUGGUGAAAGUACGUCUGCAGUAUCGUGAACGAGCUCUGGAGACUUAUGCUGUCCUCGACGAUGGCUCUGAGAGGACUAUUCUUCUAUGUGAAGCAGCAGAUAAGCUCGGCUUGCGUGGAAUCCCUGAGGAACUGGCAUUGAGAACAAUCAGGCAAGAAACCCAAGUACUUCAAGGAGCCUCUGUCUCUUUCAGUGUUUCCUCUGCCUCACAGCCUAAACGGAAUUACCACAUUAGUGGUGCAUUCACUGCUCAGAAUCUGGGACUGGCUGAUCAUUCCUACCCACUAGCCACCUUACAGAAAAGGUACCGGCACCUCAGAGGCUUGCCACUUGAGCCAUUCGAUCGAGUAUCUCCUCUCCUUCUCAUUGGAGCCGAUCAACCUCAUCUGAUAACGCCAACAGAACCAGUGCGUCUGGGACCACCAGGAGGACCUGUUGCUAUACGGACCAGAUUAGGGUGGACACUACAAGGCCCAGCCAGAGGUCUACCACACCAUCCUAGAUCUCAGAACUGUUACCUGACCUCAGUAAACCCUGAAACAGCUGAACUUCUGAGAAAUGUGGAGAAGUUGUGGCAGGUGGACACGCUACCAUUCAAAUCAGAGAAACAGGUAACUCGAUCACGAGAGGAUCAAGAGGCACUCUCACUGCUGGAAAGUAAAACCAUCCGUGUUGAGCAUAACAAGGUCCAGCACUAUGCAACCCCUUUGCUACGGAAGAGAAAUACUUUCCCUUUUCACGCGACUAGAGAUGCUGUCAUGCCAAGUCUCCGAGGUACAGAGAAACGACUCGCUAAAGAUGAAGACAAAGCCUCAGCAUACAUAACAGAAAUUAGUAAACUUGAACUGGCAGGCUCAGUACGCAAGCUGACCGAGGAAGAGGUUGCACAGAGUGAGGAAUCAUGGUUCAUUCCUCAUCAUUUAGUACAUCAUAAUGGGAAGAACCGCCUAGUAUUCAAUUGUUCUUACCAAUUCCAGGGCCGCAACCUCAACGAAUCUCUUCUUCCUGGGCCAACCCUUGGUCCGUCACUCCUGGGGGUGCUGCUUCGGUUUCGCGAGCAUGCCAUCGCAAUAAGUGGAGACAUAAAGGCCAUGUUCCACCAGGUCUGCCUCCUGCCUGAGGACAAGUCCCUUCUUCGGUUUGUGUGGCGAAACCUCUGCCGUGAUGUGCCUCCUGUGGUGUAUGAGUGGCAGGUCCUGCCAUUUGGCACCACAUGUUCUCCUUGUUGUGCCACCUUUGCCCUCCAAAAACAUGUGCACGAUCACAGCAAUGAGGAAGAUGAUGUCAGGAAUUCAGUAGAUAGGUGUUUCUAUGUAGACAACUGUCUACAGAGUCUACCGUCAAAAGCUGAAGCCAAAGAAUUACUUGACAAAUUGCGAGUCCUGUUGGCAUCAGGGGGCUUUGAGAUCCGCCAGUGGGCUAGUAAUGCCCCCGAAAUUAUCAGCCAUCUUCCUCAAGAAGCUCGCUCAGAUAAUGCUGAACUGUGGCUCACCCAAAACUCUGCUGAUAUUCAAGAGUCUACAUUAGGACUAAGGUGGCACUGCCCUACAGAUACCAUCGGCUAUAAGCAUAGACUGGAUGACUACGGCCCAACAACAAUGCGUACUGUGUACCGUACUUUGGCCAAACAGUAUGACCCUUUGGGGCUAAUAUUGCCAUAUACAACUCGAGCCAAGGUGAUUGUACAGCGACUCUGGGAUAAACAAAGGGAGUGGGAUGACCCAUUACUACCUGAGGAGCUGCUGCAAGCCUGGAAUGCAUGGGUAUCAGAACUGCCCGAAUUAUCUCGUAUUACCUUACCUCGCUGCUAUGUUCCCACAACAAUGGACCAGCCAGAGGUGACAAGAGAGGUCCAUGUGUUCUGUGAUGCAUCUGACAGAGCAUAUGGAUCAGUGGCCUACCUACGCUCUGAAGAUGCCUAUGGUGGAGUUCACCUGGCUUUCCUGCUGGCCAGAUCUCGAGUUGCACCAAAAAGACAACAAUCCAUGCCAAGACUGGAGCUAUGUGCAGCAGUCACUGGAGCUCAACUUGCAAAGCUGAUAGUCAGUGAGCUCACCUUACCCAUCAAGAGUACAAUCCUGUGGUCCGACUCGACCACCGUCCUGACAUGGCUCCGGUCAGACUCGUGUCGAUUCAAGGUCUUUGUGGGAACCAGGAUUGCUGAAAUCCAAGAGCUCACAGAUCAGCAGUCAUGGAGGUAUGUGAGCUCCACCCUUAACCCAGCAGAUGACCUGACCAGGGGCAAAUCCUUGGUGGAACUAGCACAACCAAAUAGGUGGUGUCAAGGCCCAUCCUUUCUCUUGCAACCACCUCAUGAGUGGCCUGAAGCUCCAGCUUGGACAUAUGAAGAAGACCCUACAGAGUUGCGACGGUCCUUGUUCUGUCAUUUCAUCUCAACCAGCUCGGAUAAGUCUGUCCCUGAUUCAAGUCAGUAUGCUACAUGGAGUGAACUAGUGGAGGCCACAGCACGCACACUUCAGCAGGAUAAAGCAGAGCAAGACGUUUCACCUCCUUCCAGGGCUUAUCAGCAGGUAGUCCUUUUCCUCAUUAAACAGUCUCAGCUCGAAAGUUUCCCGGAGGAAUACCACCUUCUCAAGGCCAACAAAUCAGUCCCUUCCAGUAGUCGCCUUCUUGUUCUGGCUCCUGAAUUUGAUGCAACAGAUGAGAUCAUCCGAGUUGGCGGCCGCCUUCGUAGAGCAGAGGAUUUGGAUCCAAACUUCAAACACCCUAUUGUGCUAGAUCCGAGCCACUACAUCACCAAAUUGUUAAUCCAGGAUUGUGACCAGAGAUUAUGCCACCCUGGACCAGAGCGUGUCUUCGCUGAACUUCGGCGGUCUUAUUGGAUAUUGAGAGGGCGCGAGGCUGUCCGGAAGCAUCAGUAUGCCUGUCUGGAGUGCCGAAAGUUGAGAUCUAAACCUGUUGUACCAAAGAUGGCUGACUUGCCUCCUGCUCGACUCCGUUUGUUCAAGCCAGCAUUUUAUUCCACUGGGAUGGACUGCUUUGGGCCAUUCCAGGUGAAGAUUGGCAGGCGUACAGAAAAACGGUGGGGUAUUAUAUUUAAAUGCCUUACCACUCGAGCAGUGCAUCUGGACGUACUCACCUCCAUUGAUACAGAUGCCUUCUUGAUGGCUGUACGGAGGUUUACAGCACGCCGUGGUACCCCUGCUGAGCUUUACUCAGACCAAGGGACAAAUUUCAGAGGAGGAGAGAAAGAGUUGAGAGAGGCUUUCUCUGUUAUGAGUACUGACCUGCAAGGUUUGCUGGCGAAACAUCAGAUCAACUUUCACUUCAAUCCUCCAACAGCUCCACACUUUGGAGGAGUGUGGGAGCGAGAGAUUCGCUCUGUGAAAGCAGCACUUAGCACCACAAUUGGAGCACAGAGCGUUCCCGAGGAAGUACUCAGAACAGUUUUAAUUGAGGUGGAAGCGAUCUUGAAUUCUAAACCGUUGGGGUAUGUGUCAUCCAACAUCUCAGAUGUUGACCCAAUAACACCAAAUCAUCUUCUGAUGGGGCGGCCCAGUGGUUCAUUUCCGCAAGUUGUCUACCAAGAUUCUGAACGCCUAAGCCGCAGACGGUGGAGACAAAGUCAGAUACUGGUGGAUCACUUCUGGGCCAAGUUUAUAAGUUACUACUUACCUGGUCUGCAGCUGAGGCAGAAAUGGCAAGGAACUACUGCGGAUCUUACAGAGGGGUCUGUUGUGAUGAUGGUUGAUCCCCAAUUGCCAAGGGCUCUAUGGUUAGUUGGCAAAGUGGUGAGGGUGUUUCCUAGUGCUGAUGGACAUGUAAGAGCAGCUGAGGUGAAAGUCGAUAACAAGAGUUAUACCAGACCUGUGGUAAGGUUAAUUAAGCUGCCUGAACUGCCUAAUGAUGAUUAA
ensembl:lncRNA